rnacentral:rRNA from 1 species
UUGGUAGGGUAACGGCCUACCAAGGCAAAGAUGCCUAGCGGGUGUGAGAGCACGACCCGCGCCACUGGCACUGAGACACUGGCCAGACUCCUACGGGAGGCUGCAGUCGAGGAUCUUCGGCAAUGGGCGAAAGCCUGACCGAGCGACGCCGCGUGUGCGAUGAAGGCCUUCGGGUUGUAAAGCACUGUCGAGGGGGAGGAAGGCGAAAGCUUGACCUAUCCCUGGAGGAAGCACGGGCUAAGUUCGUGCCAGCAGCCGCGGUAAGACGAACCGUGCGAACGUUGUUCGGAAUCACUGGGCUUAAAGGGCGCGUAGGCGGGCUGUCAAGUCCGGGGUGAAAUCUUUCGGCUCAACCGGAAAAGUGCCUCGGAUACUGGCAGUCUUGAGGGAGAUAGGGGUAUGUGGAACUUCCGGUGGAGCGGUGAAAUGCGUUGAUAUCGGAAGGAACGCCGGUGGCGAAAGCGACGUACUGGAUCUCUUCUGACGCUGAGGCGCGAAAGCUAGGGGAGCGAACGGGAUUAGAUACCCCGGUAGUCCUAGCCCUAAACGAUGGGUACUAGGUAGUGGACUUAACAUGGGUUCACUGCCGAAGCAAAAGUGGUAAGUACCCCGCCUGGGGAGUAUGGUCGCAAGGCUGAAACUCAAAGGAAUUGACGG